rnacentral:rRNA from 1 species
CAUGCAAGUCGAACGAUGAACACCGGAGCUUGCUCUGGUGGGAUUAGUGGCGAACGGGUGAGUAACACGUGAGCAAUCUGCCCCCGACUCUGGGAUAACCCCGAGAAAUCGGAGCUAAUACCGGAUACGACACCUCCUGGCAUCAGGUGGGUGUGGAAAGAAUUUCGGUUGGGGAUGAGCUCGCGGCCUAUCAGCUUGUUGGUGAGGUAAUGGCUCACCAAGGCGACGACGGGUAGCCGGCCUGAGAGGGUGACCGGCCACACUGGGACUGAGACACGGCCCAGACUCCUACGGGAGGCAGCAGUGGGGAAUAUUGCACAAUGGGCGCAAGCCUGAUGCAGCAACGCCGCGUGGGGGACGACGGCCUUCGGGUUGUAAACCUCUUUUGGCAGGGAAGAAGCGAAAGUGACGGUACCUGCAGAAAGAGCACCGGCUAACUACGUGCCAGCAGCCGCGGUAAUACGUAGGGUGCAAGCGUUGUCCGGAAUUAUUGGGCGUAAAGAGCUCGUAGGCGGUGUGUCACGUCUGCUGUGAAAAUCCAAGGCUCAACCUUGGACUUGCAGUGGGUACGGGCACACUCGAGUGCGGUAGGGGAGAUUGGAAUUCCUGGUGUAGCGGUGGAAUGCGCAGAUAUCAGGAGGAACACCGAUGGCGAAGGCAGAUCUCUGGGCCGUAACUGACGCUGAGGAGCGAAAGCGUGGGGAGCGAACAGGAUUAGAUACCCUGGUAGUCCACGCCGUAAACGAUGGAUACUAGCUGUUCGAUUUUCGGAUUGAGUGGCUAAGCGAAAGUGAUAAGUAUCCCACCUGGGGAGUACGUUCGCAGAUGAACUCAAGAUUGACGGGGCCGCACAGCGUGAGCAUGUGUUAUCGAUGAACGCGAGGACUACAGGCUAAUGUAGGGGAAGUCUAGAUGC